rnacentral:rRNA from 1 species
UACGUAUGGGGCAAGCGUUAUCCGGAUUUACUGGGUGUAAAGGGAGCGUAGGCGGCCUGGCAAGCCUGAUGUGAAAUACCGGGGCCCAACCCCGGGGCUGCAUUGGGAACUGCCAGGCUGGAGUGCCGGAGAGGCAAGCGGAAUUCCUAGUGUAGCGGUGAAAUGCGUAGAUAUUAGGAAGAACACCAGUGGCGAAGGCGGCUUGCUGGACAGUAACUGACGUUGAGGCUCGAAAGCGUGGGGAGCAAACAGG